UGAGGAAUAUUGGUCAAUGGGCGCAAGCCUGAACCAGCCAUGCCGCGUGUAGGACGACGCAUCUAUGGUGUGUAAACUACUUUUGUACAGGAAGAAACACUCGGACGUGUCCGAGCUUGACGGUACUGUAAGAAUAAGGAUCGGCUAACUCCGUG
rnacentral:rRNA from 1 species